AUUGAACGCUGGCGGCAUGCCUUACACAUGCAAGUCGAACGGUAACGCGGGGCAACCUGGCGACGAGUGGCGAACGGGUGCGUAAUGCAUCGGAACGUGCCCAGAAGUGGGGGAUAGCCCGGCGAAAGCCGGAUUAAUACCGCAUGAGACCUGAGGGUGAAAGCGGGGGAUCGCAAGACCUCGCGCUUUUGGAGCGGCCGAUGUCAGAUUAGCUAGUUGGUGGGGUAAAGGCCUACCAAGGCGACGAUCUGUAGCUGGUCUGAGAGGACGACCAGCCACACUGGGACUGAGACACGGCCCAGACUCCUACGGGAGGCAGCAGUGGGGAAUUUUGGACAAUGGGCGCAAGCCUGAUCCAGCCAUGCCGCGUGCGGGAAGAAGGCCUUCGGGUUGUAAACCGCUUUUGUCAGGGAAGAAACGCUCUGGGCUAAUACCCUGGGGUAAUGACGAUACCUGAAGAAUAAGCACCGGCUAACUACGUG
rnacentral:rRNA from 1 species